AGUAUCAGGAACCAGCCUUAACAACAAAGUUAUUUGGGGUCGGCCAGGUUGGGACAGUCCAAGGGCCCCCUCCUUCAACAAACCAGUCCUCAGGCAUCCCCCCUUUAAGGACUUCCCUCUUGGCUACUCCUCCCACAGACUCCUCCCUCUGCUUAUUUAUGCCAGAAGCAGCAACCCCUUCGGGUCCUCACUGCUGUCUCCAGACCCAGACCCUCAUUUGGUCUUCAUGGCAGAGAAUGCUUCUGGCCCCGUGGGACAGACUUAGGAGAUUGUGAGACCAAGAUCAUGAGCAGGGGGGAGGGGGAAGGGGAGAAGCAGACUGCCCGCUGAGCAGGGAUCCCAAUACCGGACUCCAUACCAGAACCCUGGGAUCAUGACCCAAGCUGAAAG
rnacentral:lncRNA from 1 species